rnacentral:rRNA from 1 species
UUCAAAUUUUUAAGAGCAAACGGUGGAUGCCUUGGCAUCUGGAGCCGAAGAAGGACGUAGUAAUCUGCGAUAAGCCUCGGGGAGCUGAUAAACGAGCUGUGAUCCGAGGAUGUCCGAAUGGGGAAACCCCGCCACGGGCUGCAAGGUUACGUGGUGACUCCCGCCUGAAUAUAUAGGGCGGGUAGAGGGAACGUGGGGAAGUGAAACAUCUCAGUACCCACAGGAAGAGAAAACAACAGUGAUUCCGU